GGGGGCGACAGGUUUCGACGGCAGGAUGGAGGGCUACGGGCAGCGUGCCGAGUUGCCGGGACUCGCAAAACACGGCGCAAACAAUAAUCGCCAACAAUAAUUACGCACUGGCCGCUUAAAUAGCGUCCACGUCCCUUGGGGUUUCCGUCGCCAGGACCCCCUGCGGACGUCACUUAUGGCGACUGCUCCCCGCGUAACGCUCUCGCGCGCGGGGUCAAGCUCCAGAGGGCUAGGGUGAGGGGAUCCCGUCUCCGGGAGCCCUGAACCGACAUCAAAACGGGGACUGCGCACGGAGAAACCCGCAGUCGGCCCCUGUCGGACCGGGGUUCGAUUCCCCGCGCCUCCACCA
rnacentral:tmRNA from 2 species